rnacentral:rRNA from 1 species
AGCGAACGCUGGCGGCAGGCCUAACACAUGCAAGUCGAACGAACUCUUCGGAGUUAGUGGCGGACGGGUGAGUAACACGUGGGAACGUGCCUUUUGGUUCGGAAUAAUUCAGGGAAACUUGUGCUAAUACCGAAUGUGCCCUUCGGGGGAAAGAUUUAUCGCCAUUAGAGCGGCCCGCGUCUGAUUAGCUAGUUGGUGAGGUAACGGCUCACCAAGGCGACGAUCAGUAGCUGGUCUGAGAGGAUGACCAGCCACACUGGGACUGAGACACGGCCCAGGCUCCUACGGGAGGCAGCAGUGGGGAAUCUUGCGCAAUGGGCGAAAGCCUGACGCAGCCAUGCCGCGUGAAUGAUGAAGGUCUUAGGAUUGUAAAAUUCUUUCACCGGGGACGAUAAUGACGGUACCCGGAGAAGAAGCCCCGGCUAACUUCGUG